rnacentral:rRNA from 1 species
UACACUCCUGCGGGAGGCAGCAGUGGGGAAUUUUGGACAAUGGGCGAAAGCCUGAUCCAGCCAUGCCGCGUGCAGGAUGAAGGCCUUCGGGUUGUAAACUGCUUUUGUACGGAACGAAACGGCCUUUUCUAAUAAAGAGGGCUAAUGACGGUACCGUAAGAAUAAGCACCGGCUAACUACGUGCCAGCAGCCGCGGUAAUACGUAGGGUGCAAGCGUUAAUCGGAAUUACUGGGCGUAAAGCGUGCGCAGGCGGUUAUGUAAGACAGUUGUGAAAUCCCCGGGCUCAACCUGGGAACUGCAUCUGUGACUGCAUAGCUAGAGUACGGUAGAGGGGGAUGGAAUUCCGCGUGUAGCAGUGAAAUGCGUAGAUAUGCGGAGGAACACCGAUGGCGAAGGCAAUCCCCUGGACCUGUACUGACGCUCAUGCACGAAAGCGUGGGGAGCAAACAGGAUUAGAUACCCCGGUAGUCCCAUG